GGGAAGUUAGCUCAGCGGUAGAGCACAGCAUUCACAUUGCUGGGGUCAUAGGUUCGAAUCCUAUACUUCCCACCA
rnacentral:tRNA from 1 species